GUGCUCGCUUCAGCAGCACAUAGACUAAAACUGGAACAAUGCAGAGACGAUCAGCAUGGCCCCUGCGCAAGGAUGACAUGCAAAUUCGUAAAGCAUUCCAUAUUUUU
ensembl:snRNA U6 U6 spliceosomal RNA